rnacentral:rRNA from 1 species
ACCCGGCGUAAAGAGUGGUUAAAUUUCCAUUUUACUAAAGUCAAAUGCUCUCAUCACUGUUAUACGUACCCGAGAGUAAGAAGCCCCUUAACGAAAGUAGCUUUAUUUACAUUGAAGCCACGAAAGCUGUGAAACAAACUGGGAUUAGAUACCCCACUAUGCUCAGCCAUAAACUUAGGCAGUUCUUUACAACCCCUGCCCGCCCGGGAAUUACAAGCAUAAGCUUAAAACCCAAAGGACUUGGCGGUGCUUAAGAUCCGCCUAGAGGAGCCUGUUCUAGAACCGAUAACCCCCGUUAAACCUCACCCCCUCUUGUUAAUUCCGCCUAUAUACCGCCGUCGUCAGCUUGCCCUGUGAAGGCCCCGUAGCAAGCAAAAUCAGCA